GGAAAGUCUUACGGUGGAUAAAUAGGCACCAAGAGACUAGGAAGGGCAUAGUAAUUGACGAAAUGCUUCGGUGAGUUGAAAAUAAGCAUUUAUCCAGAAAUUCCCAAAUAGGUCAACCUUUCCAACUGCUGCUGAAUCCAUGGGCAAGCAUAAGACAACAUGGCGAACUGAAACAUUUUAGUAGCCAAAGAAAAAAAAAGCAAAAGCGAUUCUCGUAAUAGCGGCUAGCAAAAUGGUAGAAGCAUGAACAGUGAAAAUGGGGUUGUGGGAGAGCAAUACAAGCGUCGUUCUUCUAGGCGAAGUAGCCUUAAUGUUGCACCCUAGAUGGUGAAAGUCCACUAGCUGAAAUCAUAACUUGAUUACGCUAUUCACCUAGUAGCAUGGAGAACGUGGAAUUCCCUUUGAAUCAGGAAGGACCACCUUGCAAAGCUAAAUGCUCUUGAAUGACCGAGGGUAAAGUAGUACAGUGAGGGAAGGGUGAAAAGAACCCCCAUCGGGGAGUGAUAUAGAACAUGAAACUGUAAGAUCCCAAGCAGUGGGAGGAUCCAGGGAUCUGACCGCGUGCCUGUUGAAGAAUGAGACAGUGACUCAUAGGAAGUCGCUUGGUUAAGGGAACCUACCGGACCUGUAGUUAAAGCGAGUCUUCAUAGGGUAAUUUUAACUACUUAUGGACCCCAACCUGGGUGAUCUAUCCAUGACCAUGAGAAAGCUUGGGUGAAACUAAGUGGAGGUCCGAACUGAUUGAUGUUGAAAAAUCAGCGGAUUAGUUGUGGUUAGGGAUGAAAUGCCAUUCGAACCCAGAGCUAGAUGGUUUUCCCGAAAUGCAUUGAGGCGCAAUAGUUGACUUGACAUAUAGGGGUGAAGCACUGUUUCGGUGAAGGCUUCGAGAGCAUUAGCAAAUCGAGGCAAACUCUAAAUACUAGAUAUGACCUCAAAAUAACAAGGGUCAAGGUUGUCUAGAGAGAUUAUGGGGGAUAAGCUUCAUCGUUGAGAGGGAAAUAACCCGUAUAACCCGCUAAGGCCACUAAAUUACCACUCAUUGAUAAAGGAGGUAGGGGUGUAGAGGCAGCCAUAAGGUUUGCCUAGAAGAAUCCACCCUUGAACGAGUGCGUAAUAGAUCUCUGAUCGAGCUCUUUUGAGCCGAAGAUGAACGCGGUUAAGCGGUCUACCAAAGCCGUGGGAUUUAAAAAUACAUGAGUAGGGGAGAAUUCUGCCUUAGAGAGAAGCCUUCGCAUGAGUGUUGGUGGAUGAAACACAAGCGAUAAUGUUGGAUUGAGUAACACAAACAUUGGUGAGAAUACAAUGCCCCAAAAACCUAAUGGUUCCUCCGCAAGUUCAUCUACAGAGGGUGAGUAAGGGGCUAAAAUCAUGUUGAAAGGCGUAGUCGAUGAACAACAAGUGAAUAUUCCUGUACUAUUCGUUAUUAGUCCCGAGGGAUGGAGGAGGAUAGGUUAGUUGAAUGAUGGUUAUCGGUUCAAGAACGUAAGGUGUCCAUGCCUUUUCAGAUUAAGAAAGGGUAGAGAAAAUAUCUCAAGACACUGUUCGAAUACUAGGCACUACGACGCUGAAGUAACCCAUGCCAUACUCUAAGGAAAAGCUCAAAAUACGUUAAGUAAAAGGGUACAUGUACCCCAAAUCGACAUAGGUGGGUAGGUAUAGAAUACCUAGCAGGAUGAGAUAACUCACUCUAAGGAACUCGAUAAAAUAUCCCCGUAACAUCGAGAGAAUAGGUGCUCCUCACACAGGGGUUCUCAAUAACAAGACCCGAGUGACUGUUUACCAAAAACACAGGUCUCUGCAAAUUCAUAAGACCAUGUAUGGGGGAUGAGGCCUGGCCAGUGUAGGAAGGUCAUGGAAGUUGGUGACCUGGUGACAGGGGAGCCGGCGACCGAAGCGCUGGUGACGGCGGUUGUAACUAUAAUGGUCCUAAGGUAGCGAAAUUCCUUGUUGGGUAAGUUUCAAAACGCACAAAAGACGCAACUAUCUGGGAACUGUCUAAGAUAGAGGCUCAGUGAAAUCUAAAUGUAUGUGAACAUGAGUACUACCUACACCUUCAAUUAAAGACCCUAUGAAUUUUCACUGUUCCUUGGGAUUGGAUUUUGGCCUUUCAUGCGCUGCUUAGGUAGAAGGUAAAGAAGGCCUCCUACCUGGGGUCUUCAUCCAUUAGUGAUAUACCAUUCUUGAUGGGUUAGAUUGCUAACCUUGUGUCAGGACCUAUGGUCCAAGGGACUGUCUGAGGUAGACACUUUCUAUGAGGUGCAGGUGUCCCAAAAGGUAACGGAGGCGUGCAAAGGUUUUCUCGGUCCAGACGGAGAUUGGCCCUCGAAUGCAAAUGCAUAAUGGAGUUUGACUCCAAGACACAUCCGUCGAGAAGGGACGACACUCAUACAUAGUUAUCCAAUGGUGCCGAGUGGAAGGGAAAUCGCUCAAAGCAUAAAACUUACUCUAGGGAUAACACAAUGAUCUUCAUCUAGCUCUCAUAUCGAUGGGAAGGUUUGUCACAUCGAUGUCAACUCUUUGCCACCUGGGGCUGUAGUAUGUUCCAAGGUUUGGGUUCUUUGUACAUUAAAGUGAUAUGUGAGAUGGGUUCAGAAUGUUGUGAGACAGUUUGAUCCAUAUCCUAUGUGGUCGUUAGAGCAUUGAGAGGACCUUUCCCUAGUACGAGAGGACAAGGAAAGACACACUUCUGUACCAAUUACCGUGCCCACGGUAAAUGCCGGGUAGCCAAGUGCGAAGUUGAUAACUACUGAAAGCAUCUAAAUAGUAAGUGCACCCCAAGAUGAGUUCUCUCCUAUUUCGAAUUCUCCAAAGCUUCCGGUAGAGCAAUCGACAACGAAGAGUUCUUUGCCCCUACGGGGAUGGAGCGACAAAAGUUUUUUUAAGAAUAAAAAGGGAGGUCACAGGGAGACGAUCCGUUUAUAAUUAUGAUAUGUUUCAAGUGGAAGUGCAGUGUUUUAUGCAACUUAGGCAUCCGAACAGACCGAUAGACUUGAAU
rnacentral:rRNA from 1 species